UGCAUCCAUGGCUCCUUACUUCUUCGAA
rnacentral:piRNA from 1 species